GUUCUGGCAUCGAUGAAGAACGCAGCGAAAUGCGAUAAGUAAUGUGAAUUGCAGAAAUUCAGUGAAUCAUCGAAUCUUUGAACGCACAUUGCGCCCGCCAGUACUCUGGCGGGCAUGCCUGUUCGAGCGUCAUUUCAACCCUCAAGCCCUGCUUGGUGUUGGGGUCCUACGGCUGCCGUAGGCCCUGAAAGCUAGUGGCGGGCUCGCUAUAACUCCGAGCGUAGUAGUAAAAUAUCUCGCUAGGGAGGUGUCGCGGGUUCCGGCCGUGAAAGCCCAUCUUUUACACAAGGUUGACCUCGGAUCAGGUAGGAAUACCCGCUGAACUUAAGCAUAUCAAUAAGCGGAGGAAAAGAAACCAACAGGGAUUGCCCCAGUAACGGCGAGUGAAGCGGCAACAGCUCAAAUUUGAAAUCUGGCUUCGGCCCGAGUUGUAAUUUGUAGAGGAUGCUUUUGGUGAGGUGCCUUCUGAGUUCCCUGGAACGGGACGCCAGAGAGGGUGAGAGCCCCGUAUAGUUGGACACCGAGCCUCUGUAAAGCUCCUUCGACGAGUCGAGUAGUUUGGGAAUGCUGCUCAAAAUGGGAGGUAUAUCUCUUCUAAAGCUAAAUACUGGCCAGAGACCGAUAGCGCACAAGUAGAGUGAUCGAAAGAUGAAAAGCACUUUGAAAAGAGGGUUAAAUAGUACGUGAAAUUGUUGAAAGGGAAGCGCUUGUGACCAGACUUGUGCCCGGCUGAUCAUCCAGUGUUCUCACUGGUGCACUCUGCCGGGCUCAGGCCAGCGUCGGUUCUCGCAGGGGGACAAAAGCUUCGGGAACGUAGCUCCUCCGGGAGUGUUAUAGCCCGUUGCUCAAUACCCCUGCGGGGACCGAGGU
rnacentral:rRNA from 1 species